UGGGGAAUUUUGCACAAUGGGGGAAACCCUGAUGCAGCGACGCCGCGUAAUUUAGAAGGCCUUCGGGUUGUAAAAAUCUUUUCUAUGGGAAGAAAAUGACAGUACCAUAGGAAUAAGGACCGGCUAAUUACGUGCCAGCAGCCGCGGUAAUACGUAAGGUCCGAGCGUUGUCCGGAAUCAUUGGGCGUAAAGGGUACGUAGGCGGGUAAGCAAGUUAGAAGUGAAAUCCUGUAGCUCAACUACAGUAAGCUUUUAAAACUGCUCAUCUUGAGAUAUGGAAGGGAAAGUGGAAUUCCUAGUGUAGCGGUGAAAUGCGCAGAUAUUAGGAGGAAUACCGGUGGCGAAGGCGACUUUCUGGCCAUAAUCUGACGCUGAGGUACGAAAGCGUGGGUAGCAAACAGG
rnacentral:rRNA from 1 species